AAUAAAUGCAGUCAUGAGUUUCCACGUCUAACUUUAAUCGUCCGUCUUAUUUAAAAUUUUUUUAUAAUUAGCAAUUUGUUGUUAUAAGAUGGUAAAACAUAAAUAGUAUUUUACUCGUGAUUUAUGUUUUUAAUUUUUUUUAAAAAAAAUUCAAAUAAAACGAAUGAUCAAAGUUGGGCGCUGAAAAUCAUGGCUGCACUUAUU
rfam:Oryza sativa Indica Group scaffold004733 genomic scaffold, whole genome shotgun sequence.